rnacentral:rRNA from 1 species
AGCGAACGCUGACGGCAGGCCUAACACAUGCAAGUCGAACGAACUCUUCGGAGUUAGUGGCGGACGGGUGAGUAACACGUGGGAACGUGCCUUUAGGUUCGGAAUAACUCAGGGAAACUUGUGCUAAUACCGAAUGUGCCCUUCGGGGGAAAGAUUUAUCGCCUUUAGAGCGGCCCGCGUCUGAUUAGCUAGUUGGUGAGGUAAUGGCUCACCAAGGCUACGAUCAGUAGCUGGUCUGAGAGGAUGACCAGCCACAUUGGGACUGAGACACGGCCCAAACUCCUACGGGAGGCAGCAGUGGGGAAUCUUGCGCAAUGGGCGAAAGCCUGACGCAGCCAUGCCGCGUGGAUGAUGAAGGUCUUAGGAUUGUAAAAUCCUUUCACCGGUGAAGAUAAUGACUGUAGCCGGAGAAGAAGCUCCGGCUAACUUCGUGCCAGCAGCCGCAGUAAGAC